CGAAAACACUGCGAGGCCUUUGCUUUGUUCCUGCCUUCUCUUUCCUAAAGAGGGAUAGAGAGAGAGCAGAGUGUGAAAGAGACGAAUACAAAGUCUUUUCUGACGGUUUUACUUAAACGCCGUUAAAAUUCGAUUGAUCAUGUUGGAUCACCAAAUGGGGAAGUGUGACUGGUCUUCGGUUUAAUCGAACCGAAGAAACAUAACGGUUUGACGAUAUUGCUCGGCCGACGUGAUGCCGUUAGUUUUAGCGGAGUAAAUGACGUAAGGUGGACGGUGGCACGUCCCUGCUGCUGAGACGACAAAAAAGGAAGGGGAAGCGAAUAAUUGACCGUCAUUCGUCGUCGUCGUGACAUUGGCGGGUUUGUAAAUAUUAAAUAAAGUUGGAGGUGCCAAAUAAAAACUUUAUAUUUUCACAAGGACUAAAAUUGUAAAUGGG